rnacentral:rRNA from 1 species
AGAGUUUGAUCMUGGCUCAGGACGAACGCUGGCGGCGUGCUUAACACAUGCAAGUCGAACGAUGAAGCCCUUCGGGGUGGAUUAGUGGCGAACGGGUGAGUAACACGUGGGCAAUCUGCCCUUCACUCUGGGACAAGCCCUGGAAACGGGGUCUAAUACCGGAUAACACUCUGUCCCGCAUGGGACGGGGUUGAAAGCUCCGGCGGUGAAGGAUGAGCCCGCGGCCUAUCAGCUUGUUGGUGGGGUAAUGGCCUACCAAGGCGACGACGGGUAGCCGGCCUGAGAGGGCGACCGGCCACACUGGGACUGAGACACGGCCCAGACUCCUACGGGAGGCAGCAGUGGGGAAUAUUGCACAAUGGGCGAAAGCCUGAUGCAGCGACGCCGCGUGAGGGAUGACGGCCUUCGGGUUGUAAACCUCUUUCAGCAGGGAAGAAGCGAAAGUGACGGUACCUGCAGAAGAAGCGCCGGCUAACUACGUGCCAGCAGCCGCGGUAAUACGUAGGGCGCAAGCGUUGUCCGGAAUUAUUGGGCGUAAAGAGCUCGUAGGCGGCUUGUCACGUCGGAUGUGAAAGCCCGGGGCUUAACCCCGGGUCUGCAUUCGAUACGGGCUAGCUAGAGUGUGGUAGGGGAGAUCGGAAUUCCUGGUGUAGCGGUGAAAUGCGCAGAUAUCAGGAGGAACACCGGUGGCGAAGGCGGAUCUCUGGGCCAUUACUGACGCUGAGGAGCGAAAGCGUGGGGAGCGAACAGGAUUAGAUACCCUGGUAGUCCACGCCGUAAACGUUGGGAACUAGGUGUUGGCGACAUUCCACGUCGUCGGUGCCGCAGCUAACGCAUUAAGUUCCCCGCCUGGGGAGUACGGCCGCAAGGCUAAAACUCAAAKGAAUUACGG